ACGCCCAGAUAAAACAAAUACAUUAAGAUACCACUCCUCUUCAGAUUUGAGGUUAGCGAUAACACAGGGAAGGAGUGCCUUUUAGAAAGGUUUGUUUAUCGUUUUCCAGUUGUUAAAGUUUUCCAGUUGUUAAAGCCGGGGCUCGAGUUCGUCGGCUGAACAAAGGUAAUUACGAACUCACUGUUUUUUAGCACGGCGCUAGAGUUCUCAGCCCGCGGGGCUCCCGGCACCGCCGCCAGUUUAGCACGAUCACUCAGGGUUCUGAGGAACCGGAGGCCGAGGACUCGGGCCAAGUAAACGCCGCUACCCUUCACCUAAACACAGAGCUCAGCCCGCGGGAUCCAUAAACAACACCUGCAGUUCAGCGCUGCUGCCUCUUACGUUCUGAUUUUGACCCGCCCGGCUGCGGAGCCUCGGCAGUGAGCUCCACGCUCGUACAACACGCUUCACCACCCCACCCCGACGGCACCAGAGGGCCGCACUGGAGGCACACUCAUCUCCCUAGGCGCCCAGCCAGCCGGUUGCGAUAACACAGGCGGCACAACAGAACAGUCUCCAGGUGCGGAGCCUGACGGCGAGGACCGUGCGCUGCGGCUCGAGGCCGGGCUGGGCGAGCCGAGGCCGCGCGGCGGAGGGAACCCCCCCACCACCACCCCGGGGACAUCGGGCACCUUUUCCGAGCCCGGCCGCGGGGGCGGCUCUUCCCGGCGGGGAGGGCACGAGCGCCGCGGGCUGACAGGUGCCGGCGCCCCCCGCCCCCACCCCGCUCCCUGAGGCGGCAGCGGCGGCGACGGCUCCCGGCAGCGCGCAAAGGGAUGACUGCUGUAACUAUUCUCCAAAGGAAUAACACUGUCGUUUUCUUCCUGUUCUAAAGAACAUCUCUGCUGCAUUUUGUAGAGAAUAAUUAAGCCACCUGCCUGGACUGUUCUGACCAAACAUGAGAGAGCUCUGCCAGGGCAA